GUAGGUGACAAGCGUUGUCCGGAAUUAUUGGGCGUAAAGCGCGCGCAGGCGGUCCUUUAAGUCUGAUGUGAAAGCCCACGGCUCAACCGUGGAGGGUCAUUGGAAACUGGGGGACUUGAGUACAGAAGAGGAAAGCGGAAUUCCAAGUGUAGCGGUGAAAUGCGUAGAGAUUUGGAGGAACACCAGUGGCGAAGGCGGCUUUCUGGUCUGUAACUGACGCUGAGGCGCGAAAGCGUGGGGAGCAAACAGGAUUAGAUACCCUGGUAGUCCACGCCGUAAACGAUGAGUGCUAAGUGUUAGGGGGUUUCCCGCCCCCCUUAGUGCCGCAGCUAACGCAUUAAGCACUCCGCCUGGGGGAGUACGGCCGCAAGGCUG
rnacentral:rRNA from 1 species